AUUGAACGCUGGCGGCAGGCUUAACACAUGCAAGUCGAGCGGGGUGAUGGUGCUUGCACUAUCACUUAGCGGCGGACGGGUGAGUAAUGCUUAGGAAUCCGCCUAUUAGUGGGGGACAACAUCACGAAAGGGAUGCUAAUACCGCAUACGUCCUACGGGAGAAAGCAGGGGAUCACUCGUGACCUGUCUCUAAUAGAUGAGCCUAAGUCGGAUAGCUAGCUGGUGGGGUAAAGGCCUACCAAGGCGACGAUCUGUAGCGGGUCUGAACGGAUGGUCCGCCACACUGGGACAGAGACACGGCCCAGACUCCUACGGGAGGCAGCAGUGGGGAAUAUUGGACAAUGGGGGGAACCCUGAUCCAGCCAUGCCGCGUGUGUGAAGAAGGCCUUAUGGUUGUAAAGCACUUUAAGCGAGGAGGAAGGGGUUGUAGUUAAUAGCUGCAACCUUUGACGUUACUCGCAGAAGAAGCACCGGCUAACUCUGUGCCAGCCGCCGCCGUAA
rnacentral:rRNA from 1 species